rnacentral:rRNA from 1 species
GUAUGUUAAACGAAAAGACUUUAGAUAUGAUCCAGAGUACCACGGGACACGUGAAACCCGGUGGGAAGCAGGAGGGACCACCCUCCAAGGCUAAAUACUACCUAGUGACCGAUAGCGUAUAGUACCGUGAGGGAAAGGUGAAAAGAACCCCGGGAGGGGAGUGAAAUAGAACCUGAAACCCUGCACUUACAAGCUGUGGAAGCACAUUUCUUGUGUGACCGCGUACUUUUUGUAGAACGGGCCAACGAGUUACGUUAAGUAGCAAG